rnacentral:rRNA from 1 species
GUUAAAAAGCUCGUAGUUGGAUUUCUGCGGGGGCGGGGCGGCCGGAUGCUUAUAGCAUCUCGAGCUAGCACUUCCCCUGCAUCCUGCCGCGAACCGUGCUACCAUUAGUUUGGUGGCGCUGGGGAUCGGCUCGUUUACUUUGAGAAAAAUAGAGUGUACAAAGCAGGCCACACGCCUUGAAUAAGUUAGCAUGGAAUAAUGAUAAAGGACUUCGGUUCUAUUUUGUUGGUGUUCGGGACUGAAGUAAUGAUUGAUAGGGACAGUUGGGGCGGUCCGUAUUCCAAAGCGAGAGGUGAAAUUCUUAGACCUUCGGAAGACGAACAGCUGCGAAAGCGUUCCGCAAGGAUGUUCCCUUUGAUCAAGAACGAAAGUUGGGGGAUCGAAGACGAUCAGAUACCGUCGUAGUCUCAACUAUAAACUAUACCAGCUAGGGAUCGGCCAACGUUUAAUUACACCGACUUGGUCGGCACCUUAUGAGAAAUCAAAGCAUCUGGGUUCCGGGGGGAGUAUGGUCGCAAGGCUGAAACUUAAAGGAAUUGACGGAAGGGCACCACCAGCCGUGGAGCCUGUGGCUUAAUUUGACUCAACACGGGAAAACUUACCAGGUCCAGACAUAGUAAGGAUUGACAGAUUGAUAGCUC